CGUUGAAACUCUGGUUCCUGUACAAUCACUGAAGUUAAGUAAUGUUGAGCCUAGUCAGUACUUUGAUGGGUGACUACUGGAGAAUGCAAGGUGCUGUAA